rnacentral:lncRNA from 1 species
GAAAAAUAGAGUACGUUAUAAGAAAUUAAUAAGUCAGUUGGAUAUUCGGGAGAAGUAAUUUAAUCGUUCUCAUUUUUUUCUUAUUUUAUUAGUAGUCUUAUAGUAGUCUUAGAUUUUGCAUUUUGAUGAGCCUCGUUUUGAGGAAUUCAUGGAAUAAUCCAUUUUCAUGGAAUAAAGAAUAAGAACAAGGAUACAUAACAUAAAAAAAAGAAUAGAUAAGACGAUAUUCGCCCUCCCCCUACAUAUUUGAUUUCUUCUCCUAUACAAAAACCAGCAAGACCUACUCCAUUGGUAAUUCCAUCAAUGACACCUUUAUCAAAAAAAUGCGUUAGUUCGGCUAAUCUUCUUAUACCUAGGAUAAAAACCCUAGUAUAGAAAAAAUCUAUAUAACCACGAUUAUAUGACCAGCUGUAUAUCUUUUUUUUUACUUCAUCCAAAAAGCUCUUUUUUGGAUUCUUUUUUACAAGGGAAUUUUGAAAAUUCAAAUUCUGAAAAAAAGAAUAAGCAGAUCCAUAAAAGAUAUAUGCUAUGAAUAGACCAAAAAUUGCUAAACUUACAGAAGAAAUUGCAUUAGUGAGAAAUUCAUAUGAAUUUAUGGAAGAAUUAGAAUUUUCCUGGAACAAGUUUAUUGAAGGAGUUAGCCACUUUGAUAAUAUGGUUAACUCCAAUAUUCUAUUAUCUUUUACUCCAUUAUCAAAAUGGAUUCCUAUGGAUCCAAUGAACAAAGUAAAAAGUAGUAAUAUAAGAAGAGGAAAUAGCAUAGUAUUUCCCGUUUCAUGAGGAUAGACAAAAGUAUUUUUAGCCCCAAAGGGAGUACUAAAGGAUCCUAUCUUAUUUCUUGUAUUAGCAGGAAUUUUUGGUAUAUUUUGUGAAAAAAAAGAAACUCCACUCUUCAUUGUUGAUAAAACAAAAUCCCUAUUGACUCCUUUGGAUAUACUUUUUCCCCAUAAGGAUAUUGAAUACAACGAACCUUCUUUAGUACUACUGUAAUUUUGAAAAUGAACACGCAAAUACCCAUCAAAAGUAAGUAAAUAUAUCCGAAACAUAUAAAAUGCAGUUAAUCCUGCAGUAAAAGAGGCUAUUAUUCCAAAAAAGGGUGAAUACAACCAACUAUUACUAAGGAUUUCAUCUUUGGACCAGAAGCAAGCAAGAGGUGGAAUACCACAAAGAGAAAGUGUACCACAUAAAAAAGUAGUUCUUGUAAUUGGAACGUAUUUUCUUAAACCACCCAUAAGAACCAUAUUCUGACUUUUAUCUGGUGAAUAUCCAACAAGAGGUUCCAUUGAAUGAAUAACGGAUCCGGAUCCUAAGAACAAUAAAGCUUUCGAAUAAGCAUGAGUGAUCAAAUGGAAUAAAGCAGCUUGAUAAGAACCUAUACCUAGAGCUAACAUCAUAUAACCCAAUUGAGACAUUGUAGAAUAGGCUAAGCUUCUUUUAAUAUCUCUCUGAGCAAGAGCUAAAGUGGCUCCUAAGAAGAGUGUUAUUGUACCUAUUAAAGAAAUGAAACUCAUUAUCCAGGGUAGGGAUAUGAAAAGAGGAAGAAGUCUAGCUAGAAGAAAAAUCCCCGCAGCAACCAUAGUUGCUGCGUGUAUAAGAGCCGAAAUAGGAGUGGGUCCUUCCAUAGCAUCAGGUAACCAUACGUGAAGAGGAAAUUGUGCAGAUUUUGCAACUGCACCAAGGAAUAAUAAAAAAGCACACAAAGUAGUAAGUAAGGAAUUAAUCCCAUUAUUAGGAAUCCAGUUAUUAGCUAUUUUGAACAAAUCCCGAAACUCCAAACUACCCGUUAUCCAAAAAAAACCUAAAAUUCCUAAUAACAGACCAAAAUCCCCUACACGAUUAGUUACAAAAGCUUUUUGACAAGCACUCGCUGCAAUUGGCCGCGUAAACCAAAAGCCUAUCAAUAAAUAGGAACACAUUCCGACAAGUUCCCAAAAAAAAUAAAUUUGUAUCAAAUUGGAACUAGUAACCAAUCCUAACAUGGAAGUAUUAAAAAAACUUAUAUAAACAAAAAAUCUCAAAUAUCCUUCAUCGUGAGACAUAUAAUCGUCACUAUAAAUAAGAACUAAGAUUCCUACAGUAGUAAUUAGUAUUAACAUAAUAGACGUAAGGGGGUCGACCAAGUAUCCAAAUUCUAAGGAAAAAUCAUUAUUGAUGGUCCAAGACCAUAGAUAUUGAUAGAUAGAACUUCCAUUUAUUUGUUGAAUAGACAGGUGAAGUGAGAAUACCAUAGCUAUACUUAAGAGUAAAAUACUAGGAAAAGCCCAUAUCCGACGAAGAUUUUUUGUUGCUGUAGGAAUAAGAAAAAGUCCAAAUCCCAUUGACAUAAUAACUGGAAGUGGGAGAAGAGGAAUUACCCAGGCAUAUUGAUAUGUAUGUUCCAUAAGAAAAGAAAUAGCAAUUUUUAGUUUAAAUUUAUAGUUCAAUUUUUCUAUAAAAUAAAAUUGUUUCCGAUUCACCAAACCUAUUCUUAUCUCUUUCUAAAGGAAUUAAAAAAACAAAAUAAGAAAAAUAAAAAAUACUGGAAUUAUGAAUUUUUCUAAUUUCUCUCAUUAAAAUAUUCCAAAAUUUAGAAUGGGUUUAGUUACUUAAAUUCAAAAAGUGAAUCAAAGAAUUUCGGUAUCUAGUUAUUAGUAAAAAAAAAUAUUUAUUAAAAUACAAAAAAAGAUUGAAUAAUUUUACUUUCUAAUCAUUUUUGUAUUUCUUUUUGUUAAAAUAAAAGAGCUCUCUUGUUUCGUAAUUGAUUGAUUGAAUUCCAAAGAAAACCUAUAUUUAUAGGAAAUUCUCGAAUAUUGCUUAUUUCAUAUAAAAGGAAAUCCUAAUGACUAGAAUUCUCUAAGUUUUAGAAUGUCUUGUUUAAGAGACUAAGUAUUUUUUUUUAUUGGAAUUCAAUUAUGGAAUAGCCUUCUGAACUUAAUUAACUAUUUGAAUUGAAUUUUACCUUCUUUUUAUCUCCCCCUCUUAUAUGAGGGCUUAUCCCCCAUACCAUAUAUUUAUAUAUGGAGUAUAUUUGAUAUAGAAAUUGAUUUAAAUAAAAAUCUUAAAAAACUCUUGUCUUAUCCACAUUAGACAAAAUGAACUAAAGAAGAAUUUAGAAUUUAAGUAUCUUUCAGUAUCUAAGUAUAAAUACUAAGAAAAAACAGAAAGAAGGAUUGAUUUGUGGCAAUAGAUGUCUUUCACAUACAACUAGAAAAAAGUAAUUCCCUUUUUGAAUGGCAGUUCCAAAAAAACGUACUUCGAUGUCAAAAAAGCGUAUUCGUAAAAAUCUUUGGAAAAAAAAGACUUAUUUUUCCAUAGUACAAUCUUAUUCUUUAGCAAAAUCAAGAUCAUUUUCUAGGGGCAACGAGCAUCCAAAACCAAAAGGUUUUUCUGGGCAACAAGCAAACAAAUAAUAAGAUUUUGAAAUAAUCUGAAUUGAACUAUCCAAAAGAAAUUCCAAUUAUUUAAUAUGAAUGAAUAAUUCGGAUUAAUUAAUAAAUGUACUUUUAUGUGUCGAAUUCCUCGGUACAAUAUUCUUAGAACGAAUCCCUCCAUUAUCAUUAUAUAGAACAAAAGUUUUUGGUAUAUUGUGUCCUCAGUAUUCUUUUCCUAUCAAAGAACUUUUUUUUAUAAUAGAAUUCUCAUAAAAACGAGGAUUCUAUUAUAAAAAGUAACUAUUCUUGCAAUAGGACUUACAACCUCCACCUAAUCUUAUCCAAAAUUCCCAUAUAAAUGGGUUUAGGACUGGUACAUCAUAUUAAUAAGAGUGUAAAGGCUUUCAUUCUAUCAUUUUUCUAAAAUACAAAAUGCAUUUCAUUGUAGUUAAUGAUGAACUUCUAAUGAUGAACUUCUAAUGUUCCUAAAUUCUAUGGCUUCUCCCAGUCUCGACGAUUCACGAUAAAAUAACUAUUAUUCUUUUAAGUUAACUAUUAUUUUAAAUUAGCCGCCAUGGUGAAAUUGGUAGACACGCUGCUCUUAGGAAGCAGUGCUCAAGCAUCUCGGUUCGAAUCCGAGUGGCGGCAUUCUCGAAAAAGAAUACAAAAAUUAGAAAAUGGAUUCAAUUCGAAAUUUCCAAUUUUGUAAUGGGACCUUAUCGUUAUGCUAUUUGCAACUUUAGAACAUAUACUAACUCAUAUCUCUUUCUCAACCAUUUCAAUUGUGAUUACGAUUCAUUUGAUAACCUUAUUAGUUCGUGAACUUAGGGGAUUACGUGAUUCGUCAGAAAAAGGAAUGAUAGCUACUUUUUUCUCUAUAACAGGAUUUUUAGUCUCUCGUUGGGUUUCUUCGGGACAUUUUCCAUUAAGUAAUUUAUAUGAGUCAUUGAUCUUCCUUUCAUGGACUCUGUAUAUUCUUCAUACUAUUCCUAAGAUACAGAACUCGAAAAAUGAUUUAAGCACAAUAACUACGCCAAGUACUAUUUUAACGCAAGGCUUUGCCACGUCGGGUCUUUUAACUGAAAUGCAUCAAUCCACAAUACUAGUACCUGCUCUACAAUCUCAGUGGUUAAUGAUGCAUGUCAGUAUGAUGUUACUAAGCUAUGCAACUCUUUUGUGUGGAUCCUUAUUAUCCGCCGCUCUUCUAAUCAUUAGAUUUCGAAAGAAUUUCGAUUUCUUUUCACUAAAGAAAAAUGUUUUUCUUAAAACAUUUUUCUUUAGUGAGAUUGAAUAUUUAUAUGCAAAAAGAAGUGCUUUAAAAAACACCUCUUUUCCCGUAUUUCCAAAUUAUUACAAAUAUCAAUUAACUGAGCGUUUGGAUUCUUGGAGUUAUCGUGUCAUUAGUCUAGGGUUUACUCUUUUAACCGUGGGUAUUCUUUGUGGAGCAGUAUGGGCUAAUGAGGCAUGGGGAUCCUAUUGGAAUUGGGAUCCUAAGGAAACUUGGGCAUUUAUUACCUGGACCAUAUUUGCAAUAUAUUUACAUAGUAGAAAAAAUCCAAAUUGGAAGGGUACGAAUUCCGCACUUGUAGCUUCGAUAGGAUUUCUUAUAAUUUGGAUCUGCUAUUUUGGUAUCAAUCUGUUAGGAAUAGGUUUACAUAGUUACGGUUCAUUUACAUUACCAUCUAAAUAAUUACAUAACAUAAAACCUUCGGUUUUUUUCCUUUUUAGUUUGAUUUGAGAACCCUUUGAAAAGACGUUCAAGGGGUUCUCAAAAAUUCGAGAUAGAUCUAAUUCUGAAAAAGAUGGAACAUGAAAUAGCUAAUUCUGAAAGAUACGAAAAAGAUCUAAUUCUGAAAAAUUCGAGAUAGAUCUAAUUCUGAAAAUUCGAGAUAGAUCUAUUACUGGUAAAAAGAUACAGAUUAAAAGAAAGAGUUCCCGUGGUCCAGAAUCUACAAAAUUUUUGAUUGGAACAUGAAAUAGCUUGUAUCCAUAGAACAUCUGGCGUAACAUAGAUAAUAAAUAAAUAGGAGUUAAUAUCAUUCCUAUUGCCAUUACAAAAGUAAUUAGCAUUUUUGGCAUUAACAUAAAUUUAGGACUAGUAAUUAGUCCAAAAAAUACUACUAAUUCUGCAACAAAACCGCUCAUUCCCGGCAAGGCAAGAGAAGCCACUGAAAAGCUACUAAACAUGGUAAAAAUUUUUGGCAUUGGGAUAGAUAUUCCCUCCAGUUCUUCGAGAUAAACAAGACGCAUUCUAUCACAAGUCCGUUCCCGCCAAGAAAAAAAGUGUAGCACCGAUAAAUCCAUGAGAUAAUAUUUGUAAAAUAGCUCCAUUUAGUCCAAUGUUGGUUAUGGAACCAAUUCCUAUAAUUAUGAAACCCAUGUGAGAUACGGAGGAGUAGGCUAUUCUUUUUUUGAAAUUUCGUUGACCAAGAGAAGUUGAAGCUGCAUAGAUUAUUUGCACCGCUCCUAUUAUUACCAACCAAGGGGAAAAUAGAUAAUGAGCAUGCGGUAACAAUUCCAUAUUGACCCGAAUCAAUCCGUAUGCUCCCAUCUUUAAUAGAAUUCCGGCUAAAAGCAUACAUGUACUGUAAUGCGCUUCCCCAUGGGUAUCUGGUAACCACGUAUGUAAAGGUAUAAUCGGCAAUUUGACAGCAUAAGCAAUAAGGAAGCCAAAAUACAGUAGUAUUUCCAAUGUUGUAGGGUAUGAUUGAUUAAUCAAUCUUUCUAAAUCUAAUCCGGGUUCAUUGGAACCAUAUAAUCCCAUACCCAGAACUCCAAUUAAGAAAAAAAUGGAACCGCCUGCAGUAUACAAAAUAAACUUGGUAGCUGAAUACAUACGCCUCUUUCCCUCCACAUGGAUAAAAGUAAGUAAACAGGAAUUAAUUCUAACUCCCACAUGAUAAAAAAGUAAAAGGUCUCAUGAAGAAAAUAAUCCUAUUUGACCACUAUACAUUGCUAGCAUCAGGAAAUAGAAUAAUUGCGAAUUCCGAGUAACCGGCCAAGCCGCUAAAGUAGCUAAAGUAGUGAUAAAUCUUGUCAAUAAAAUAGAUCCUAAUGAAAGUCCAUCGAUUCCCAAUCUCCAGUGGAAAUCGAAAACAUCUAUCCAUUUAGAAUCCUCCUUUAAUUGGAUUAAAGGAUCCUCCAAUUGGAAAUGAUAACAGAAUGCAUAAGUCAUUAGAAGGAAUUCUAAUAAACAAAUAGCUAUAGUAUAUGAUUUUAUUUCCUUUAUGAGGUAAAAAGAAAAUUAAUGAACCUGCAAAUAUCGGCAAAACAACAAGUAUUGUUAACCAAGGAAAAUAACUCAUGAUAAAGUAAUAAAUACAAGAUACGUUUUGAUCAGAAAAGCCCAUGCUCGAUUAUUUCGAGCACAGGCUUCUUCGGUAAAGAGGAAUCAGACGAUUCAAGUGGAGUUUUUUUGUAACGUAUCAAUAAGAUAGAGCCAUGCUGCGGGUUGUUUCAGGCCCUAAAUAAAAGCGGACACUUAAAAAUCCGUUGGACAGGCGGAUUCGCAUCUCUUACAACCCACACAAUCUUCGGUUCUCGGCGCGGAAGCAAUUUGCUUGGCUUUACAUCCAUCCCAAGGUAUCAUUUCUAAUACAUCUGUUGGGCAAGCUCGUACACAUUGAGUGCAUCCUAUACAUGUAUCAUAAAUUUUUACAGAAUGUGACAUUGGAUCUCUAAAUUUUCCUUUUCAACAUAAAAAUUUUCGAUCUGGUAAAAAUGAAAUUAGUACUAUAUAAAUUAGAUGUAUUGUAGACACCAGACGAAGCAAUAGUUUAUCCAAACUUUAACAAAUAAUGCAAUAUAUUUCGUAAUCUGUUUGUGAGAAAGCGUGAAAAGAGCCAAGAGACUUGAAUUUAAGGCUUCAACAGUUAUAAUUAUACAAAUUCUACAUACUAAUUCGAAUUAGCCAAUAAAUUGGCUAUCAUCUUUUCAAUAUAAAUUAUUGCAAUAUUCAAAUUGCAAUAUCAAUGAAUUGCAAAAAUGCAAUAUUCAAUAAGUAAAAAACAAUACUCUGAAAUAACCUACUCAAAAAAAGGAUAUUAUUAAACACUAAUAAGAAAAUAAGAUUAGAUUUCUAUUCAUCUUAAUGUUUCUUAUUAUUAUAUAUGCCCCUUUGUUUAGGGGAUUCUAUGUCUAAUUAUUCAAAAAAUUGGAUUGAUUGAUACGAGUUGAUUUCCUGUUACGAUGGAUGGAAGAAAGAAUGGAUAGUCCAAUAGCUGCUUCAGCAGCCGCAAGGGCUAUAACAAAAUUGCGAAAAUGUCUCCUUUUAAUUGGCGACUAUCAAAUAGAUCAGAAAAUGUUACGAGAUUUAGAUUAAUUGAAUUUAGUAUAAGUUCAAGACAUAUUAGAGCUCUAACCAUGUUUUGGCUUGUGAUCAAUCCAUAGAUACCAAUCGAAAAUAAAUAGACACUCAAAAAAAGUACAUGCUCAAACAUCAUUAACUACCUCCUUAUCAAUCUCGAUUCAUUUCAAUAUGAGGACAAGAAUUGAACUGAUUCAAUUAACUAGAAUAGAACAAUUACGCAACAAAAGAGAAAAGAAGGUAUUUGUUGUAUUGGCAGUAGAUGGGUUUUACUAAAUCAAAAUUGUGAUUCUUUAGUUAUUUAUUUUAUAUUUGAAAUUCUAAGAAUUUUGACUCAUUCUAAGUAUUUCUUAUUGUCGAGCCAUAGUAAUUACCUAUUAAAGAAACUACAAGAAUUAGGGAAAUGAGUUCAAAUGGAAGAUAAAAAUCGGUUGCUAAAUGAAUCCCAAUUUGUUGAACGUUAUUUAUGAGACCCUGUUCUACUAUUUGGUUUGAUCUUGUAGUCCAAAGAAUUCCAUGCCACGACGUAUCUGGGAUAGUAGUCAUUAGUGAAAAAGGAAUAGUUAUACAAAGGAGUAAAGUAAACCCAUCUCCAAUAGUCCAAUAAUUCUUAUCUUUAGACCACUCUGAGCCGUUUACAAACAUUACAACAAAUAUGAUCAAGACAUUUAUGGCUCCCACAUAAAUAAGAAGUUGUGCGAUAGCUACAAAGUAGGAAUUUAAUAAAAAAUAGAAUAAGGAUAUACAAACAAGAACUAAUCCCAGCGAAAAGGCAGAAUAAAUUGGGUUGGUAAGUAAUACUACUCCUAGACCUCCUAGUAGAAGACCAAAUCCCCCAAAUAGCACAAGAAUCUCAUGUAUUGGUCCAGGUAAAUCCAUUAUGGAUAAGAAGAAAUUUCUAGUAUAAAAUUUUUCAUGAACUGACUAAAACUAAAAGAUUCAAGGAAGGAAAAAGGUAUUAGGAUAUUUUUUUGUAUAUACAUAUAAGUUGUUAAUCAGUAGUUAUUCUUUUUCGUUAGAGUUAGUAAAAAUGGAUUUUUCUAAUAAAAAAAAUCCUAAUACCUAGUAAUCUGUAAUCGUUCUUGAAUUCCAAGAUUUUUCUUCGUCUAUUUUACUUUGAGGCAAAUUUCUAAUUGUUUGAAUUGUGUAAUCUCCCAUUAUGGUAACCGACUCAAAGCAAUCUGAUUGUAAUUCAAUUCAUGACGAUCAUAAGUAGAAAGUUCAUAUUCUUCAGUCGUUGAUAAACAACUUGUGGGACAGUAUUCAACACAGUUACCGCAAAAUAUACAAACUCCGAAAUCAAUACUAUAAUUAAGCAAUUGUUUUCUUUUAAUAUCCUUUUCAAAUCUCCAAUCCACAAAGGGUAGAUCUAUCGGGCAUACGCGAACACAUACUUCACAAGCAAUGCAUUUAUCAAAUUCAAAGUGUAUUCGCCCCAGGAAACGCUCCAAUGUAAUUGAUUUUUCAUAAGGGUAGUGAAUCGUUAUAGGUAAACGAUUUGUGUGGGAUAAGGUAAUUAUGAAACUUUGACCAAUGUAUCUUGCGGCGCGUAUUGUUUGUUGACCAUAAGUAAUGAACCCAGUUAGCAUAGGGAACAUAUUCUAAAUCUAUAUAUGAAAAAGGUAUGUUUCUUUCUCUUGUUUGAGAGAACGUUUGUGUUGAAAAUAUUCUUACUGUUAUUGUAUUCUUAUUUAUAGUGAAACUAGUUGGGAAGAAGUUGUUAAUAAGAGAUUGCCCAGAGAAAUAGGUAAAAGAAAUUUCCAUCCAAGAUUUAAUAACUGAUCCAUUCUCAUUAUGGGUAAAGUCCAUCUUAUUGUGAUAGAAAUGAAGAGAAAUAAAUAAGCUUUAGUUAAUGUAAUAAAGAUACCUAUUACCAUUUCCAAAAUUCCAAUUAUUUUAUUCAUUUGGAAAAAUCCAAAAAAGGAUAUAUAGGGAAUAGAGAAAUUCCACCCGCCUAAGUAUAGAACAGUUACAAAUAAAGAGGAAACUAAUAAAUUUAGGUAAGAAACAAGAUAAAAUAAACCAUAUUUAAUACCAGAAUAUUCGGUUUGAUAACCUGCUACUAAUUCUUCUUCUGCUUCUGGUAAAUCAAAGGGUAAUCUUUCACAUUCUGCCAAAGAAGAAAUUAGAAAAACUAGAAAACCUAUAGGCUGACGCCAAAUAUUCCAUCCAAAAAAACCAUAUUUGGACUGUGCUUCAACUAUAUCAACUGUACUUGAACUAUUAGAUAAUCAUAGUCGAUGAUAACAUCACAGUUCUCACCGCUAUUCCAAAACCGUACAUGAAACCUUAGCUUCAUACGGCUCCUCUAUGAUCAGAAAAAAGGAAAGGAUUGUUUCGUUUCGGUAUCAUCCUCUGGGCAUAGAUAGAAUUAGAUAAGAUAAAAUUGAUUGGAAAGCCCAAAAUUAGACCAAAGCAAUUACGUCUGCUAGAAUAACAAAAAAGCGCUUCCGAAUUGAUCUCAUCCUUUAUAUAAUAUAAUUUUGCUUUGUUCGGUAAUAACUUAAUAUUGGAAUAAAUCACUCGUUGUAGCAAUUAAUAAAUGGAAAGAAUUUGGCAUUAGUUCAUGAGGAAUUCUGUAUGAAUAGGGAUAAAGGAAGGAAAGAAUAAAUAAAGAUCUUUUUUGUAUUGUAUUCCUUAUCUUUUGUCCUACUCUUCUUUCCCUAGGAGGGGUAUACUUAAAAAAAGAAUAAAGGGUUAAUUCGUUCUUGAUAGCCAUUUCCUUAACAAGUGAAUGGGAACAUACUCUAGACCGGAAUCUGAAGAAAGUACGGCUUGAUCAUUUCCACCAAUUUCAAGUCCUUAUUAUGAUUCCUUUUAUGACGAAAAAUGUCUAAUGAUUUAGAUUCUCUCAUUACUAAUCUUGUAUGUACUUUAGUGUUCCUAAUCCCUCACUAAAUUUUGAUCGAUUGCCUUGUGGUUAUAAGUUUAAAUUAUAGUAAUAACUCAAAAUAUUCUAGUAAUGGAAUUCCAUAUCGCGAAUCUUUUAUUCUUGCCCGCUUCAAGAUAUGAUGACUAAUCAAACAAUCUCAACCUUGGGGUUAAGAGUUUACACUGCUUAUGUUUACUUGAACUUUUUUCUUGUACGUAGGAAAUGAGAUUUUUUACUUUUACUACAAAUUAAUAAGCUGUUUUGUUUCACUCAUAUAGCUAUCGAGUUUAACUUACCAACGCGAAUACAGAAUAAGCAAAGGAAGAUAAGCAUUCAAUGUAUUUUAGAGGAAAAAGAUCCUAUUUUAACGAAUCACACGUAGAGAUAUUGCUAGUACACAAAAAGUUAAUGGUAUUUCAUAACUAAUAGAUUGAGCAGCCGCUCGUAGACCGCCUGAAAAAGAAUAUUUAUUAUUUGAGCUAUAUCCUGCCAUGAGAAGACCAAUAGGAGCAAUACUUGAAAUCGCAAUCCAUAAAAAACACCAAUACUAAGAUCAGCUAAAACAAAACGAUAUCCUAAAGGGAUAACUAAAAAACUUAAUAAAAUGGAUAUGACUGCUAUAGAGGGACCAAUGCUAAAUAAAGGAAUAUCUCCUCGGGAUGGGAGGAUAUCCUCUUUUAAAAGUAGUUUAGUUCCAUCUGCUAUAGCUUGAAGCAGUCCCAGGGGGCCAGCAUAUUCAGGACCAAUACGUUGUUGUAUCGAUGCGGAUAUUUCUCUUUCUAACCACACAAUUACGAGUACUUCUAUUGUGAUUCCCAGUAGGAGGGCAAAAAUGGGUAGAAUCCAUAUAAGUUCGUAGAUUUCUUUAAAUAAUUCUGAUUUCGAAAAAGAAUUGAUAGUUUCUACCUCUACCCUAUCUAUUAUCAUUUCAACGAUCAACUUCCCCCAUAAUGAUAUCUAUACUACCUAAUAUUGUCAUGAUAUCAGCCAAUUUCAUUUUUUUAACUAGAUGAGGAAGAAUUUGCAAAUUAAUAAAACCCGGUGGACGAAUUUUCCAUCUCCAGGGGAAAAGACUAUCAUCUCCUACCAGAUAAAUUCCUAAUUCGCCUUUUGGAGCUUCUACUCUUACAUAAAGCUCUUGCUUUGAUAAUUCAGAAUUGGGCGAAGGUUUUUUACCAAGAAAUCGAUAUUCAAAAUCAUUCCAUUCGGGAUUCUUUGCUUUCUUAAAGCGUCGGGCUUCUAAAUUCUCAUAAGGUCCUCUAGGAAUUUUCUCUACAGCCUGUUGAAUAAUUUUUAUGGAUUCCCUCAUUUCACCGACUCGUACUAAAUAGCGAGCUAACGAAUCUCCUUCUUUUUGCCAUUGGACUUUCCAAUCGAAUUGAUUGUAAGACUCAUAAGGAUCAAUUUUACGAAGAUCCCAUUGUAUUCCAGAAGCUCGUAACAUUGGUCCCGAUAAGCCCCAAUUUACAGCUUCUUCUCCGCUAAUAAAACCGACUCCUUCAACUCGUUCUAAAAAAAUGGGAUUCUGUGUAAUAAGUUCUUGAUAUUCAACAACUCCUUGUAAAAAAUAAUCACAGAAAUCUAAACAUUUAUCCAUCCAUCCAUAAGGGAGAUCGGCAGCGACUCCUCCGAUGCGAAAGUAAUUAUGCAUCAUUCGCAUACCUGUAGCAGCUUCAAAUAGAUCAUAUAUCAAUUCUCUCUCUCUCUAAAAAUGUAGAAAAAGGGAGUCUGUGCCCCGAGAUCCUCCAUAAAAGGUCCAAGCCAUAACAAAUGAGAAGCUAUACGGCUCAAUUCUAACAUAAUUACUCUAAUAUAGUUGGCUCUUUUGGGUAAUUGAAUAUUCUCUAAGAAUUCUGGUGCAUUUACCGUUAUUGCUUCUGUAAACAUAGUAGCUAAAUAAUCCCAUCGUGUUACAUAAGGCAAGUAUUGUAUAAUACUUCUGUUUUCCGCGAUUUUUUCCAUUCCUCUGUGUAAAUACCCUAAUAUGGGUUCACAAUCAAUAACAUCUUCACCAUCGAGAGUAACAAUCAGUCGAAGAACACCAUGCAUUGAUGGGUGUUGAGUGCCCAUAUUGACUAUCAUGAGAUCUUUUCUUUUAAGCGAUAGACUCAUAUCCUUGUUCUUAUUCUUUAUUCCAUGAAAAUGGAUUAUUCCAUGAAUUCCUCAAAACGAGGCUCAUCAAAAUACAAAAUCUAAUACUACUAUAAGACUACUAAUAAAAUAAGAAAAAAAUGAGAACGAUUAAAUUACUUCUCCCGAAUAUCCAACUGACUUAUUAAUUUCUUAUAACGUACUCUAUUUUUCUUUACCAAAUAAGCCAGCAAACUUUGACGUUUUCCCAAAAGUCUUCGUAGACCUCUUUCCGAUGAAAAAUAUUUUUUGUGUAAUUCUAAAUGUGAAGCAAGUCUCCGUAUCUUAUUAGUGAAACUGAAUACUUGAAAUUCAACAGAACCCCUGUUUUCUUGUUUUUCUUCUUUAACCAUAAAUCAACAAAUUUUUCUACCUCCUUUCUUUUUCAUGUAUUUUUUUGGUCAGGAAAAAUAAAAAAUUAUGUCAGUUAUUUUUAAGUUAUUCUAAUCUCGUACACACAAAAAUUUGCAAUUAUUCAUCUACUGCUAGAAUCUGGAAUUUGGAUUUAUUUUAUCGAUGCAAAUUGGAUUUGGAUAGAAGGGUACAUUCAUUUAUUUUAGAUAGAAGAAACAUUUCUUCUAUCUAAAAUAAAAGAAUUUUUCUGAUUUAUUUAUUGUUAUAUCCAAUUUAUAGAAUUGAUAUACCAUUUAAUUGAUAUCAUUUAGCAAAAUGAAACACAGCAUAUGCAUCCAUCUUUGGGCUUGAGAAUUUCACGGGAUAGAGAUAUAGUAUAAGAAAUAGGCUAUUAAGUAACUCUAAAUGAAUUGUGGAUACAUCUGUAUCCUUAACAAACUGAAACGACUGCCAUUAUUCGUAUCAAACCAAUAGCGAUUCAUAAAAGCUAAAUCUUGUAAUCAAUGGUGGGCCAAUAAUGAAUUUUUUUGCAUAUGUAUUAAGAUGCUUGGUCUGAUUUCGAAAUUGUCCAGAGUUUUUUAUGUUGUUUUCAUUGCAAAAUGAUGGAUCUCCUUCCGUAACUUCCCAAUUACGAGUAUGAGAAUUGAAAGACAUGAAAAUUCUCAAUUCUCUACGGCGUCUAGGAGAUGGAUCGAAUAUUUUCAGGAACAAGAAAAUCAGAAGAAUCUUUUUUCUCUAUUCACUACCAUUCCGCGUCUUCGACUUCUAUUAGUUCCUUUUCUUCUUUAAUGCAAUAGCUAUAGUUUGAUAUAGAAUCCAUUUCUCAAAGUAAUGGAAACCAUUCUCUUAUAGGAAAUGGUACGAAAAUCGCUAUUCCACCUUUUAGGUUUAGGUAUCGUGAAAAGUGAUACCUGUGAAGAUCGUGCAUUUCAGUCACAUUCAGAUCCGUUUUUCGAGUCCAUGAUAUAACCAAAUUGGAUGGAUCUUCCACCUGUUUAGCUAAGAAAGAAUAGAUGCAGAGGUGGAUAAUAGAUCGAUAUGAAGAUCAUGAGCUGCCCCAUAAUGAAACCGCCAAUAGUCGUGAAUAUCUCCUUCUUCCCUAACCCAAGAUUGGAGAAAGAAGAUCUAAGAGGGACCUAUGGAGAAUGUGGUCAGAAAUCCAUAAUAGAGUCCGACCACAACGACCAAAUUAAUUAUCCUCAUCGAGAAACUUAGACUACUUUAGACUACUUAAGUAGAAAAGAUUUGAAAAUCAUGGCAUGGGUCUCCUUUUUUUCUUUCUUUAGAGUUUUCUAUAUGCACAAUUUCUCGAUGUUUCGAUGAGAAUUUCUUGACUUUCCAUACAUAGAAAGAGAUAGACUAUAAAUGACAUCUCUUAUGUCAAUAAGACCAAAGGAAUGGAUAUUAAAUGAUAGGAAGUGCUAAGAAGUGAAAUAGAAUGAAAUAGAUCCACUUUGGGCUUCCCUAUGAAAUGAGGCAUGGAAUGGAGCCACUACGAAGAAAUUCCGGGAGUUGUGAAAGAAGCUUCGGACUCAUAUUGUUCACGGGUUGAGAGUGGGAGUUGAACUCUAGGAGGUCGAAUCUCCCCUUGUUCCUCAGUAGCUCAGUGGUAGAGUGGUCGGUUGUUAACUGACUGGUCAUAGGUUCGAAUCCUACUUGGGGAGAUUUGAUUCAUUCUUUAAUGUAAGAAUAAAGAAUUGAAUUAAAAGGCUUGCUUUGACCCUUAGGAGUAGGUAACCCGUUUGCUAUCCUUGUUUCUAUUGCAUUCUGUCUCAUCGUAUCACAUUCUGUUCUACGAUUCCACUUCGACAAAAGGAAAGAGCAUACCCAAGUUCAAUAGCUUUACGUCCGCUAUUCUGAUCAUGAUUUUCCUACCCUCAGGGAGAAAGUAAAGGUCCUUCCCCCUU